rnacentral:lncRNA from 1 species
UCUCCAGCCGCCCUCAAAUCCUCCCAUCUAUAAACCCUACUCCUCCUAAAACCUAGGUGACAUGGUAUAUUUCUUUUCUUGGAUUGGAGCCUAUUUGUGGUUCUACUAUGAUGAUAUUACUUUUCUUGGCUCCUCGUUUAUGUGGUACUUUCCCAUUUAUGGCAAGACUUAUACGAAAACCUAACGUUACUUGCCUGAACAUGGCAAGUAUCGAAUGCGAAGAUUCAAUGCGAUUUUGGAACACUGAUUCUACACAUAAUCAUGGCUUGAUACAUUUUGGAGGAAAUUCUUACUCCUCUGAUAGUUGAAUGAUUUUUGGUUGACCUUCUGCCUAUGAUUUUGCCCUAAUCCUACUCAAAAUUGGUUUGUAUGUGUUUAUUUCCUUCGUUCUGUAAUUUAAUUCGUAUUUUUCUUUUUUAGUUUGUGUGAAUCAAACACUAUAUAAACCCCUCCAAUUCCCCCUUAGGAUAGACUUUAGUCAUCAUCUCUGUCACUCGUAUUGAUUCUAUGUUUUUCUAAUUCUCUAAAUACUACUCUUACUAAUCAUCUUCUUGGCCGGUUGAAAGCCAAGGCCACUUUGGUAUAAUUCAAAAUCCUCCUCCGGUACAAGCACUGCUCUAGACCUUUGAGGCUUCUGUGAACUAUGAAGUACCAGAGACCUUAAAGUUCUUACUGCUAGCCUUCAUUCACAACUGCUGCAAAACUACAGUUAAAAAUUGUCUUCUCAUUUUUGCUUGCUUAUUUUUGCAACUGGUUAGUAAACUUGAAUCCUACAGUUUAAUUGUCGCAUGAACAUGUUUAGAUUACCUCUUUACUUGUUCGUAUUUUAUGUGCAUUCUACACUAUUAUCUGAACUCUUAUCCAAGUAUAAAGAUUGACUUAGGUUUCUCUGCCAUUUGUGAGUCAAAUAUUAUACUAUGUUGUAUGAUUUGAUGCUAUUUUAUUGUCAAAAUAUUGUUCUAAGGAUCCAUGUAUGCUAAUGUUGAGUUUGCUAGAGUUUAAUACCCCUAAGGAGAUCUUUAUCACAUAUAAUUGUACUCAUCCAUAUGUAAUUGACCUAUAGAAUCCCUCUGACCUCUUAGGAAUUAGUUGAACACAUGCUAAUUGAUUUGUUAUACUUAUGAACUGUGUACACAAAAUUGAUUUGCCUUAGACUUUUAUGAUAAACCUUUCUGUAGGAACCUCUGUGCUCUUAGGAUUAAGUCCAAACUAUAUACACAUGAGGUAUUACCUUAAACCUUCAUGUUGAAUCUUCCGUGUAAGGAACUACAAGUAGUUUCUUAGGACUAAGUUUUGAACAUUAUAGAAGAUACGUCUUUGAGGUACUCCAAAUGAUGUAUGUUUUCCUGAACAUAUGUGAUUCUGUGUAUGUGAUUCUGUGUUGCCCUCAGGGCAUAUGCUUCUAAGCUUUUCAUGAGAUUGGUACCUGCAUGCCCUAAAAUACCACUUAGGGAACCUUAUUUUUUGGUUGGUCUCUAAGUCCCAAAGAUUAAAAUUUUGAAUGUUCGUAUGUUCCUCACAUGAGUUCUGAGUUGUGCGAGUAAUUUGUGUGUAUAGUUUUCCUCUUGAAAUUUCCAUCUUGUGAGGGACUUAGUUAUUAGAAUUGGCUUUGUUGAGAAUUUAGGCUUGGGGCCUGAUUUGAGCACUGCAUGCUUUAUCCGCCUGACCACAUGCACCUGGAGCUUGGGUCUGUUGGUUUGCAUGAAGUUUAAAGUUGUUGAAGGCCCAGAUAUAUUACUGGGUUAUUUGUGUACUUUAAUUUGGCCUGUAACUAUUUAUUUUAAUCUAUAAUGAUUUGUAAAAUACUGAUAAUGGGGAAAUAGCAAAAAGGAGGGGUGGGUAGUUUAAUUUUUUUGCAUGAUUGGGUAGAUAACAUGCCUAUAGGUCCAAAUCACUUUUCAC